rnacentral:sRNA from 1 species
AUGACUGCCGAAGACAGCAGGUGCUUUCAAACAGCGUAAGUGGUGAUACACGCCUGCCGAGGAUGAUAUGAGAUUCGAUUUCUAUGAAUUUGUACAACCUCUGCGUCUUACGGGCCGGAGGUUUUUAUUAUG